CGGACGGGUGAGUAACGCGUGAGAAUCUGGCUUCAGGUCUGGGACAACCACUGGAAACGGUGGCUAAUACCGGAUGUGCCGAAAGGUGAAAGGUUAACUGCCUGAAGAUGAGCUCGCGUCUGAUUAGCUAGUUGGAAGUGUAAUGGACUCCCAAGGCGACGAUCAGUAGCUGGUCUGAGAGGACGAUCAGCCACACUGGGACUGAGACACGGCCCAGACUCCUACGGGAGGCAGCAGUGGGGAAUUUUCCGCAAUGGGCGAAAGCCUGACGGAGCAAUACCGCGUGAGGGAGGAAGGCUCUUGGGUCGUAAACCUCUUUUCUCAGGGAAGAACACAAUGACGGUACCUGAGGAAUAAGCAUCGGCUAACUCCGUGCCAGCAGCCGCGGUAAUACGGAGGAUGCAAGCGUUAUCCGGAAUGAUUGGGCGUAAAGCGUCCGCAGGUGGCAAUGUAAGUCUGCUGUUAAAGAGUCUAGCUCAACUAGAUAAGAGCAGUGGAAACUACAUAGCUAGAGUACGUUCGGGGCAGAGGGAAUUCCUGGUGUAGCGGUGAAAUGCGUAGAGAUCAGGAAGAACACCGGUGGCGAAGGCGCUCUGCUAGGCCGUAACUGACACUGAGGGACGAAAGCUAGGGGAGCGAAUGGGAUUAGAUACCCCAGUAGUC
rnacentral:rRNA from 1 species